rnacentral:rRNA from 1 species
UCGAACGGCAGCACGGAGCUUGCUCUGGUGGCGAGUGGCGAACGGGUGAGUAAUAUAUCGGAACGUACCCUAGAGUGGGGGAUAACGUAGCGAAAGUUACGCUAAUACCGCAUACGAUCUAAGGAUGAAAGUGGGGGAUCGCAAGACCUCAUGCUCGUGGAGCGGCCGAUAUCUGAUUAGCUAGUUGGUAGGGUAAAAGCCUACCAAGGCAUCGAUCAGUAGCUGGUCUGAGAGGACGACCAGCCACACUGGAACUGAGACACGGUCCAGACUCCUACGGGAGGCAGCAGUGGGGAAUAUUGGACAAUGGGCGAAAGCCUGAUCCAGCCAUGCCGCGUGUGUGAAUAAGGUCUUCGGAUUGUAAAGCACUUUAAGUUGGGAGGAAGGGCAGUUACCUAAUACGUGAUUGUUUUGACGUUACCGACAGAAUAAGCACCGGCUAACUCUGUGCCAGCAGCCGCGGUAAU